GCAAAGUAGGGAAUAACGCGUUAAGUGAGAAAAGGACGGGAAGUUGCCUUUUCUACGAAAAACAGUUUUGUUUGCGGUGUUAUUCUCGCAUUCCGUUG
rnacentral:ncRNA from 1 species